rnacentral:misc_RNA from 1 species
UAAAAGCAGUUAUUAAGUUUUUUUCUUUAAAGCUUUUGAACUUAAUAACACUUUAAGUUAACCUUGUAAACAUCAUUAAGUUUACCUUUAAAAGAUCAAAGAACAAUUAUUAAAACCUUUUUGAUCAGAUAACUAAUAAACUAACUAACUAAAUCAUCGAUGCAUAAUUAACUGCAUCAAUGAUUUUUUUUCAUUAUUUUUACCGCAAAAAAUGCAGAUUUAUCUGUUAAACUAAUGAUUUAAAAAGGCUUUUUUUUAUUAUCAAUCAUUGGUUAUUUUUUACUUGUGAUUUUAGCUUUAAUGCUUAUAAAAAAAUCCAAUGAUAAAAGUUUUUUAGAAAAGUGUUGUACAAACUGAUUUGUUGUGCUAUAAUCUAUAAGGCUUAUAUA